GACAGAGGGGGCAAACGUUGUUCGGAAUUACUGGGCGUAAAGCGCGUGUAGGCGGCUAAGUAAGUCGGGCGUGAAAUCCCACGGCUCAACCGUGGAAGUGCACUCGAAACUGCAUAGCUAGAGUCCUGGAGAGGAAGGUGGAAUGCUUGGUGUAGAGGUGAAAUUCGUAGAUAUCAAGCGGAACACCGGUGGCGAAGGCGGCCUUCUGGACAGUGACUGACGCUGAGACGCGAAAGCGUGGGGAGCAAACAGG
rnacentral:rRNA from 1 species